ensembl:lncRNA
CUGCUACAAUUUUUACAGGCAGAGGCCAUGGUAAAACAAAUACAUCAAUGGACUCACUUAGGGGUAAGCAAACUCAUCCAGACGUUUUCAAAAACUAAAUAUUAUGUUACAGGUCUCAAGUAUCUCUUAGAACAGAUAGUGCACUGAUGUAUACCAUGCCAAAAGGUAACUGUUUUCAGGAAAGUUGACUCUGGUAGGAGGCUCCGUGGGGAAUGGCCUGGAUCCUACUGAGAAGUGGACUUCACAGAGAUAAAACCAGGAAAAUAUGGUUAUAAAUGUCUCCUAGUGUUUAUAGAUAUCUUUUCAGGAAUAGAUAGAAGCUUUCCCCACCAAACAUGAGACGGCCUCUACAAUCAUCAAGAAGAUACUGGAAGAAAUCUUCCCCCGAUUUAGAAUGCCCAAGGUAAUCUGGUCAGACAACAGUCCUACUUUCGUUGCCAAGGUAAGCCAGGGUGUGGCCAGAUAUUUAGAGGUUGAUUAAAAAUUACGUUAUAUUUACAGACCUCAAAGUUCAAGACAGAUAGAAUAAAUAAAUAAAAUUUUAAAAGAGACCCUGACCAAAUUGACCAUGGAGACUGACACAGACUGGGUGACACUCCUUCCCUCUUGCUCUCUUCAGAGCAAGAAAUACCCCUUCCAGAUUCAGCCUUACCCCCUUUGAGAUCUUAUAUGGGGCCUCAGCUCCCCUGACUGUAUUAGAUGAUGUUACUGAACCAACAUGUCAUAGUAAUAAUGAUUUAUACAGAAAGAAAUCUGCUCACAGCUGACAGCAGCCUAUGCCCCGGAGACCCCUGAGACAUGUCAUCAGUUCCAGGUUAGAGACUACAGCUACACUGAGCCCAGACACUCGAGCCUCGCUGGAAAGGACUAUACCUGGUGAUGCUGACCACCCUGACAGCCGUCAAUUCUCAGCCCUCACCAGCAGCGUACUAGCUGUUGGGGCUGAGAGCUGGGACCUAGAGGGACACUCAGAUCUUCAAAAAGCUCCCUAGACUUAAGUGACUGAGAGGUUGCUAUAAUGCUCACUUGAAGAGUGUGUUUUAAAAACAAAAAUUUCAUGUUUGCCUGUUUGCCCUGGGUUCCCUCGGAAUAGGUGUAAGGAUAGGCUUGAUUUUUAUUGCAAAUGAUAUAACAUUACAUAUGUUAGUACUCCUAACACUUCUUGAGACUGUGCCUCAGGGAUCACAAUCUAUAUAAGUUUAAAAGUUCUAAAAGACCUUGGUGUAUAGGUUCAGAUAGUGUCCAGAUUAAAAUCCUGAUGCUAAAGACUUAAUAAGACACAAAAGAGAGUUAAAAAUUAUUUAAGGCUAUCUAGGUGCUACAAGGACAGCACAAGGACAUCUACAGUUGCCCUACAAUACAAGGCUUAUAGAGAAUUAGGAACUGCCAUUGACUCAGAUAUAAAAAGAAUAAAAAAGACUUUUUAGCUGACCUCCAAGAAUACUUAACCUCCCUCUCAGAGGUAGUCCUUCAAAAUAGGAAAAGAUUAGACCUGAUAUCCUUUAAAAAAGGAGUCUGUGUGCUACACUAAAAGAAGAAUGCUGUUUCUAUGCAGAUCAGACAGGAAUAAUAAGAGAUACAGACUUUCAGUCAUUCAAACUUUUGUGCUGAGACAACAGUAUCAGAUGGUGAAACAACAAAAAAACAGAGGUACCUUAACCAAGUUGAGUGGAAGAUUCCACUCAAAGACAAAAAAAGAAAAUGGGGGAAUGAAAGACCCCCUCCCAGAAAGGGAAUUGUACAAGCCCAAGGCCCUCAACUAUAGAAGUAAAAAGUAAGUUUUUAGAUAUGUGGGACAAGCUGACCCAUCAUUUAAACGAAACAGACCAGAAAAGAAAACAAAAUGCAGAAACCAGACUAAAUUAUGGACAUUGCUCCAUGGGCCACCUGGCAGGAAAAAGAAACAGUCCCUGACCCCCCGGAAGCCCUGACCACCAUGUACUUUUUGCUAACUCACUGUUAUGAUUAUAGCGAAAAUAGGUAACAUACACGUAUGCCUCAUUUACUCCACCAAUCACAUCCCUGUAACCAUACAUCCCUGGUUCUGCUAGGCGCGCCAGUCUUCCAAAUUGACUGGGAUGCCCACAGAUACCUGUGUAUCCUGAUCAAUAAAAAUCCUCUUACAGAUUACAGCCUGUGGACUCGGUCUGGUCAUUGGGCUUGAAGAUCUCCCUCCUGAGGGAAGAUUCUCUCUGAGAGUCUUACAAAUAGAAUGCUGGAAUAUGGACUAAAGACAUAGGAAACCUAUUCAGUGAGACAUUAUUAUUAGAAAGUCUCCUCUAUCUAUUGAAAUACUAGGACAUCCAAGUACAGAAAUAAUUAGACCACCUGAUAGAUGACCUAAAACAGUCUUGUCUUAUGCUGAGCUUGCAGAACAGGAGAACAAUACUGCAGGGUACUACAGAGGGGUGCCAAGGGACUUACAAAGUACCCAACUGACAAACCAUUCAGAACAACAGGGCAUUUCUUGAUAGAAAUCUUCAAGGCCAGAGCAUGGAACGAUGCACUCUGAGCACUCAGAAAAUAACUGAGAGCCAGCAUGGCAACAGAAAAAAGUGUCCUUUUAAAAACCUUCAGGAUGGGUGUGACUAAUGCAAUGUGUGACCACUGCGCCAUCACUGAAGAAGUUACUUACAGGAAAAUUCUAAACACAAGGAAGAAGACACAAUCAGGAGUGCAGGAGAAAUAAAUCUUGCAGUUCUAAGGAACCAACAGCAGUAACUCGGUAAGUGCUGGUGAGCUUUUCAUCAACGUGAUGCACGCACACUGGAGUCACCUGUGAAGAAGAGACCUCAGGUUUUAACCUUGACUCAAACAUAAAUAGAAUUGAAAAGCAAAAAUCAGUAAGCAAUCACUGAUUGCAGCAGGAACUCACCGAGCUGGCAGAGGCAUACCAAGACUGAAAGUGAAAGGAGCAAGAAUGAACAAAUGGGACCUCAUAAAACUGCAAAGCUUCUGUAAGGCAAAGGACACUGUCAUUAGGACAAAACCACAACCAACAGAUUGGGAAAAGAUCUUUACCAAUCCCACAUGUGAUAGAGGGCUAAUAUCCAAAAUAUGCAAACAACUCAAGAAGGUAGACUCCAGAGAGUCAAAUAACCCCAUUUAAAAAUAGGGUAAAGAGCUAAAAAAAGAAUUCUCAGCUGAGGAAUAUGGAAUGACUGAGAAGUGGCUUAAAGAAAUGUUCAACAUUCUAAGUCAUCAGGGAAAUGCAAAUCAAAUCAAUCCUGAGAUUCCACUUCACAUCAGUCAGAAUGGCUAAGAUAAAAAACUCUGGUGACAACAGAUGCUGGCAAGGAUGUGGAGAAAGAGGAACACUUCUCCAUUGUUGGUGGGAUUGCAAGCUGGUACAACCACUCUGAAAAUCACUCUGGAGGUUCCUCAGAAAAUUGGACAUAGUACUACCUGAAGACCCAGCUAUACCAUUCCUGGGCAUAUACCCACAAGAUGCUCCAACAUAUAACAAGGACAUGCUCCACCAUGUUCAUAGCAGUCCUAUUUAUAAUAGCCAGAAGUUGCAAAGAACCCAGAUGCCUUUCAAUAGAGGAAUGAAUACAGAAAAUGUGGUACAUCUACACAAUGGAAUAUUACUCAGCUAUCAAAAACAACGAGUUUAUGAAAUUCCUCCAGGUAAUCAGGGCUACUGUGAGAAUCCUAUCAGCAGCACUAUACUCCACGGGGAAUGACUGAAAUUACUUCCUCUAACAUCAACAUGGAGCCAAGGGUGACCUUUCCAUCAACUAUUAUUUAAAAUAAGUUUGAGACAUCAGAGCAGUAAGUCAGGAGAAAAAUACAAAAGAGAUACAAACCAGAAAGGAAGAAGUCAAAUUACCCUAUAAGUAGAUGAGAUGCUUCGAUAUUUAAAAUCCCUCGGGACUGGCAGAGCGCUUGCCUGGCGUAUGCAAGGCUCUGAAUUUGAUCCUCUAAACCGUACAGGAUGAAAAAGUGUCUGAACAGCAUCCAGGGUUCAACCUGAUGGCUCUGCACAAGGCUGAUGAUCCGAGUUGUAGCCCCGGAACUCCAUAGAACUCCAUAGAAAGGAGAUUAAGGAGCCAUGCCUUGGUAAUCCCACCUCAGAAUUCACUCGGAAGCUGAAGGGCCAUCUGACCUGGAACACUGUGCUGAAUGAAACAUGGGAGGGACUUUGCCUCAAAAGU